rnacentral:lncRNA from 1 species
UUAAAUUCUCUAUACUACUGGGUUUAAGGUUAAAGUUUUAGGGUUUAGCGUUUAGGAUUUAGAGUUUUAGAAUUUAGAGUUUAGGGUUUUAUGGUUUAGGAGUUCUAAGGUUAUAGGGUUUAGGGUUCUAAGGUUUAGGGGUUAGAGUUUAGGAUUUAGUAUUUACGAGUUGUCGGUUUUGUUUAGUCUGGAGUUUUAGGGUUUUAGGUUGAGAGUUAAGGGUUUAGAGUUUAGAGUUUAAGGUUUAGGAUUUAGGGUUCUAAGGGUUUAGGGUUUAGGGUUUUAGAAUUUAGGGUUUAGGGUUUGAUUAUUUAGGAUACUAAAGUUAGGGUUUAACGUAUAGAGUUUAAGGUUAAGCGUUUUAUCAUUUAAAGUUCUAGGGUUAAGGGUUUAGGGGUUUAGAAUUUAGGGUUUAGGGUUUGGUUAUUUAGGAUACUAAAGUUAGGGUUUAACGUAUAGAGUUUAAGGUUAAGCGUUUUAUCAUUUAAAGUUCUAGGGUUAAGGGUUUAGGGGUUUAGAAUUUAGGGUUUAGGGUUUGGUUAUUUAGGAUACUAAAGUUAGGGUUUAACGUAUAGAGUUUAAGGUUAAGCGUUUUAUCAUUUAAAGUUCUAGGGUUAAGGGUUUAGGGGUUUAGAAUUUAGGGUUUAGGGUUUGGUUAUUUAGGAUACUAAAGUUAGGGUUUAACGUAUAGAGUUUAAGGUUAAGCGUUUUAUCAUUUAAAGUUCUAGGGUUAAGGGUUUAGGGGUUUAGAAUUUAGGGUUUAGGGUUUGGUUAUUUAGGAUACUAAACCCACCCCCUCCAAAAAGCCACUCCUGCACGCCGCCCGGCCCUUCCGAUACCUAAUUUUUCGGGACGUCUCGACGCCGGACGUGAUUUUUAAACUUUAGGGUUUUAGAAUUUAGAGUUUUGGAUUUGAUGGUUUAGGAUUCUAGGGUUAAGGGUUUUAAAAUUUAGGGUUUAGCGUUUGAUGGUUUAGAAUUCGAGGAUUAAGGGUUUAGGGUUUUAGAAUUUAGGGUUUAGGGUUUGGUUAUUUAGGAUACUAAAGUUAGGGUUUAACGUAUAGAGUUUAAGGUUAAGCGUUUUAUCAUUUAAAGUUCUAGGGUUAAGGGUUUAGGGGUUUAGAAUUUAGGGUUUAGGGUUUGGUUAUUUAGGAUACUAAAGUUAGGGUUUAACGUAUAGAGUUUAAGGUUAAGCGUUUUAUCAUUUAAAGUUCUAGGGUUAAGGGUUUAGGGGUUUAGAAUUUAGGGUUUUUACCGUUUUAUGAUUUAGAGUUCUAGAGUUAAUGGUUUAGGGUUUUAGAAUUUAGAGUUUAGGGUUUGAUGGUUUAUUAUUCUAGGGUCAAGGGUUUUAAAAUUUAGGGUUUAGCGUUUGAUGGUUUAGAAUUUUAGGAUCAAGGGUUUAGGGUUUCAGAAUUUAGGAUUUAGGGUUUGAU